UACGUAGGGCGCAAGCGUUGUCCGGAAUUAUUGGGCGUAAAGAGCUCGUAGGUGGCUUGUUGCGUCUGCCGUGAAAGCCCGUGGCUUAACUGCGGGUCUGCGGUGGAUACGGGCAGGCUAGAGGCUGGUAGGGGCAAGCGGAAUUCCUGGUGUAGCGGUGAAAUGCGCAGAUAUCAGGAGGAACACCGGUGGCGAAGGCGGCUUGCUGGGCCAGUUCUGACGCUGGAGGAGCGAAAGCGUGGGGAGCGAACAGG
rnacentral:rRNA from 1 species